CCUACGGGAGGCUGCAGUGGGGAAUAUUGGACAAUGGGGGGAACCCUGAUCCAGCCAUGCCGCGUGUGUGAAGAAGGCCCUCGGGUUGUAAAGCACUUUCAGUGAGGAAGAACGCCUGGUGGUUAAUACCCAUCAGGAAAGACAUCACUCACAGAAGAAGCACCGGCUAACUCCGUGCCAGCAGCCGCGGUAAUACGGAGGGUGCGAGCGUUAAUCGGAAUUACUGGGCGUAAAGCGCGCGUAGGUGGCUUGAUAAGCCGGUUGUGAAAGCCCCGGGCUCAACCUGGGAACGGCAUCCGGAACUGUCAAGCUAGAGUGCAGGAGAGGAAGGUAGAAUUCCCGGUGUAGCGGUGAAAUGCGUAGAGAUCGGGAGGAACACCAGUGGCGAAGGCGGCCUUCUGGACUGACACUGACACUGAGGUGCGAAAGCGUGGGUAGCAAACAGGAUUAGAUACCCUAGUAGUC
rnacentral:rRNA from 1 species